rnacentral:rRNA from 1 species
UACGAAGGGGGCAAGCGUUGUUCGGAAUUACUGGGCGUAAAGGGCGCGUAGGCGGCUUAUCAAGUCAGGGGUGAAAUCCCAGAGCUCAACUCUGGAACUGCCUUUGAUACUGGCGACCUAGAGUUCGGAAGAGGUUAGUGGAAUUCCCAGUGUAGAGGUGAAAUUCGUAGAUAUUGGGAAGAACACCAGUGGCGAAGGCGGCUAACUGGUCCGAUACUGACGCUGAGGUGCGAAAGCGUGGGGAGCAAACAGG